rnacentral:lncRNA from 11 species
CAUUAUAUCAGCAUAUAUUAUUUUGCAAAGGUUGAAUGUGCAUGAUGCACUAAUACAGAUACUGUGUUGUUUACAAAAAUCAGUUGGAGUCCUGAGAAAUUGUUCAAAUACCGUAGACUACUUUGUGUUGACUCCAUUUUGCAUUUAAGUCUCUAAGAUUUCAGUUCUUGAAACAUUAUAUUCCGUAAGAUACUGCUGUGUGUUACAACAGUUGGCUGUACUUUAUUAUUGUUGUGAACACUUAUAUGAAUGUCAAAUGUAUAUGAUGCAUAUACAUACUGUGUUUAUAGCAUAUGUUUUGAACCUUUAUAGUGUUUGCGUAUCUCUUUGACAACAAAAUACUUGGGACCAGAACUGUUUUGGAUUUUGAAACCUCUUGGAGAUGGGACCCAUGUCUAAAUAUAAAAUUCCAUUUAUAUUUCACUAGCUGUGCCCGGCCACGCAUUGCUGUGGCGAAGUAUGAGGCCCCUUCUACACAGCUGGAUAAAAUGCACACUGAAGUUGAUUAUAUGGCAGUGUGGAGUCAAGAUAAUCCAGUUCAAAGCAGAUAAUAUAAGAUUAUAAACGGGUUAUAUAUCUGUGUGGAAGGGCCUUGAGUCUACACUGCCAUAUAAUCUAGUUAAAAUCAGAUAAUCUGUAUUUUAUAGGCAGUGUGGAAGAGGCCUAAGUGAGGCCUAACUCUGCCUGUCCCCUGGGCUGAGUGGGUUGCUAGGAGACCAAGUGGGCAGAGCUUAGCCUUCUAACUGGCAGCAAUUGGAUAAAAACAAUUAUUCCUCUCCCUCUAAUUAGGACUUUAGUUUUCUUUUCUUUUUGUUAUAUGAACGUAGAGGCAUGGAUGAGGGGUUGUGUUGCCAAGUUUAGUGUUUCUGGGAUGUGUAGUUUUGUUGUUUUGUCCUAGGCCGAAUUUUUUUAAUCCUUUUAUAUAUAUAGAUGUACAUCUCUCAUGCAUAGUCUGAAGGUAUACAGUGUUUUUAAUAAUUUUGUGCAUAAAGCAAAGUUUAUGUGCACUGGCCUUUCAGAAAGAGGUCACUAUUUCAGCAACCCAUGUGAAUUAUUUUGGAUUUGGAGGCAUUUCAGAUUUCCGAAUUCCAGUUAAGGGGGAAUAUGUGAUUAGAUUAUCUUCUUUUAGCCAGUUCUUUCAAAAAUCAUGGGGCAGCUGAACAUUGAAAGUACAAUCAAGUUUUUAAAAUUACUUCUCUGGUUUGGAACAUUUCCGUCUGAGCUGCAAUAAUCCCUCAUUUGCCAUUUUAAAGGUAAUCUUAUGACAGGAGGGUACAGAAUGCACGAGUGAAAUGAGAUAGUAAUAUCCAGCCUACAAAAACAAAUAUUUAGUCAGAACCAAUAUAAGCAUUUCAGACCCUUUGCAGACCUAAUAGUAGCAUUCAGCAUAAUGUGGCAGAUACCAAUCCCGCCUUACUCUUAUCUAUAGUUCUUUUAACAGCUAUACGUGCUAACUGUUCUGAUUUGGCUAGAAACAUCCUCAAUAAUCACAGUCCUGUUCAAUCAUCUGUCAUCUCAUUUUUCAAUUGCUUUAGAAAUAUCCUAGUUUCUCUCUCCUCUUACCACUUUCCAGAAGCUGUAGCCCCC